rnacentral:rRNA from 1 species
GGGCUCACACAAGCGGUGGAGGAUGUGGCUUAAUUCGAUGAUACGCGAGGAACCUUACCAGGGCUUAAAUGCAGAACGACCGGGGUGGAAACACCCCUUUCUUCGGACGGUCUGCAAGGUGCUGCAUGGUUGUCGUCAGCUCGUGCUGUGAAGUGUCGGGUUAAGUCCCAUAACGAGCGCAACCCCUAUUUCUAGUUGCCAGCGGUUCGGCCGGGGACUCUAGAGAAACUGCCAGCGUAAGCUGUGAGGAAGGUGGGGAUGACGUCAAAUCAUCACGGCCCUUACGUCCUGGGCCACACACGUGCUACAAUGGUGGGGACAACGAGUCGCGAACCCGCGAGGGUAAGCUAAUCUUCAAACCCCAUCUCAGUUCGGAUCGGAGUCUGCAACUCGACUCCGUGAAGUUGGAAUCGCUAGUAAUCG